rnacentral:lncRNA from 1 species
UUUUUUUCUUCUUUUUAUAGGAGAAUUUAUUUUAUACAGAAGACAUCGUUUCCUAUUAAUUUAGAAGACUUGAAGAGAUAAAAGAUAUAAAAUAAUGCUCAAGAUAGAAGUACCUUUCUAUGUAGGAAUAUUUAAGAGGUAUGCCAUUCAUUACUUAUUUUGAUGAGGUUUUUAUUUCGUCUCUUGGACCCAACGUUCCUUAAAUUUCAUGGAAAAGAUUGGUAUCUCUAUGACGAUAGAUAAAUCUUCAGUUUUGUCAUAGUUGGUCAGGAUCAUUUAUGCCAUUGACUUGACCUCUCCAACAUCACAUACAAUUCCUUAAAAUAUCACUGGUUUUCAAGUGAUUAUUUAUAGUUCUUCUUUUUGCUUUUAGGAUAUGGAGAAAGGAAACUUCAAGAUAAUCAGGAUGAUCAUAAGGAGUCUGAUGUUAGGAAGUUAAUUAAGGCUACAAAGAUGAAAGAGAAAAGAAUUCGGAAGGCAUUUAGAGAGGUCUGUCUCAAGGAAAAAUAAAGUUACAAGCAAGGAGCUAGAAUUGAAGUCAAAUGGUGGAAGAGGAAUCUGAGAAGGGAAUAAAUAAAAGAGGCCGGUCUUACAUAUCACUAGGAACUUAAAUAAGAUAGGAUGAAGCUUGCUCCUCGAGAUGCAUAACGGGCAAGGAUUACAUACAAAAAUGGCUCGAAAAAUAAAAGUGAAGAAGCAUGCAAGGAUUUUUCUUAUAUAUUCCUCUUCUACUCAGG